rnacentral:rRNA from 1 species
UACAGAGGUCCCAAGCGUUGUUCGGAUUCACUGGGCGUAAAGGGUGCGUAGGCGGUCGGGUAAGUCUGACGUGAAAUCUUCAAGCUCAACUUGGAAACUGUGUCCGAUACUAUUCGGCUAGAGGAAUGGAGGGGAGACUGGAAUACUUGGUGUAGCAGUGAAAUGCGUAGAUAUCAAGUGGAACACCAGUGGCGAAGGCGAGUCUCUGGACAUUUCCUGACGCUGAGGCACGAAAGCCAGGGGAGCAAACGGG